GGUAGCCUCGGACCCCAGGAGGUGCUCGAGUAUGUCAGUGUUUGGCGUGCAUUGCAAGCCACUACCCUCACAUCCGAGCCAGACCGCAUCAUAUGGCGAUGGACUUCCAAUGGCGUCUACUCCGCUAGCUCGUGCUACAAAGCUCUCUUCCACGGUUCCACUUCAUCCCCAUGGUGGCGUCUUCUUUGGAAGAAUUGGGCGCCCAUGAACAACAAAAUCUUUCUCUGGCUUGCCUCCCUCGACAGGUGCUGGACGGCUGAGAGGCGGGCGCGCCAUGGCCUCACCAUCGACAUGGUGUGCGCCUUAUGCGCGCAAGAGAGCGAGUCCAUUGACCACCUACUCGUUGGGUGCGUCUUCUCCAGGAUCACAUGGCAUGAAAUCCUGUCGUGGUGCCGACUCAUUACCCCACCGAUGGAUGGUGACACCACCUUCUUCACAUGGUGGUCCAAGGCCGUUGAUGAAUCCUCGGGCUGCCUACGGAAGGGCCUCAACUCCAUCAUGGCACUCUCCGCUUGGUCCAUUUGGAAGCACCGCAAUGCGGUCAUCUUCGAGAACCGGUGCCCCUCCACUGAAGACCUUAUACGUUCGAUUAAAGACGAUGCCCGCCUCUGGCUAAGGCGGGUGCCCGAGGGCUUGCUGCGAUUAUCCCUGUAA
rnacentral:rRNA from 1 species